GACGAACGCUGGCGGCGUGCUUAACACAUGCAAGUCGAACGGAAAGGCCCUGCUUUUGUGGGGUGCUCGAGUGGCGAACGGGUGAGUAACACGUGAGUAACCCGCCCUUGACUUUGGGAUAACUUCAGGAAACUGGGGCUAAUACCGGAUAGGAGCUCCUGCUGCAUGGUGGGGGUUGGAAAGUUUCGGCGGUUGGGGAUGGACUCGCGGCUUAUCAGCUUGUUGGUGGGGUAGUGGCUUACCAAGGCUUUGACGGGUAGCCGGCCUGAGAGGGUGACCGGCCACAUUGGGACUGAGAUACGGCCCAGACUCCUACGGGAGGCAGCAGUGGGGAAUAUUGCACAAUGGGCGGAAGCCUGAUGCAGCAACGCCGCGUGCGGGAUGACGGCCUUCGGGUUGUAAACCGCUUUCGCCUGUGACGAAGCGUGAGUGACGGUAAUGGGUAAAGAAGCACCGGCUAACUACGUGCCAGCAGCCGCGGUGAUACGUAGGGUGCGAGCGUUGUCCGGAUUUAUUGGGCGUAAAGGGCUCGUAGGUGGUUGAUCGCGUCGGAAGUGUAAUCUUGGGGCUUAACCCUGAGCGUGCUUUCGAUACGGGUUGACUUGAGGAAGGUAGGGGAGAAUGGAAUUCCUGGUGGAGCGGUGGAAUGCGCAGAUAUCAGGAGGAACACCAGUGGCGAAGGCGGUUCUCUGGGCCUUUCCUGACGCUGAGGAGCGAAAGCGUGGGGAGCGAACAGGCUUAGAUACCCUGGUAGUCCACGCUGUAAACGGUGGGUACUAGGUGUGGGGUCCAUUCCACGGGUUCCGUGCCGUAGCUAACGCUUUAAGUACCCCGCCUGGGGAGUACGGCCGCAAGGCUAAAACUCAAAGGAAUUGACGGGGCCCCGCACAAGCGGCGGAGCAUGCGGAUUAAUUCGAUGCAACGCGUAGAACCUUACCUGGGUUUGACAUGGAUCGGGAGUGCUCAGAGAUGGGUGUGCCUCUUUUGGGGUCGGUUCACAGGUGGUGCAUGGCUGUCGUCAGCUCGUGUCGUGAGAUGUUGGGUUAAGUCCCGCAACGAGCGCAACCCUUGUUCACUGUUGCCAGCACGUUAUGGUGGGGACUCAGUGGAGACCGCCGGGGUCAACUCGGAGGAAGGUGGGGAUGAUGUCAAGUCAUCAUGCCCCUUAUGUCCAGGGCUUCACGCAUGCUACAAUGGCUGGUACAGAGAGUGGCGAGCCUGUGAGGGUGAGCGAAUCCCGGAAAGCCGGUCUCAGUUCGGAUUGGGGUCUGCAACUCGACCUCAUGAAGUCGGAGUCGCUAGUAAUCGCAGAUCAGCAACGCUGCGGUGAAUACGUUCCCGGG
rnacentral:rRNA from 1 species